UUCAUAAAUUUGGGUGCAUAAGGUGAUUGUCAUGGAAUCCUCCAACCUCAGUGUCAGUUUGAAGUAGACUAGGUUAGAUUCUUGUCAAGUUAAAUGUGCAAGGGUAUGCAUGUGUGAGUGUUAGUCUUGGUGUGUGUGUAUGUAGAUAUUUUAGGGAGAGGAGUAUGGGUGAAUAUUUAAUCUGCAUAGAGUAUAAAAACAGGACCCAAGAUGGGAAUUUGUCAGUGUGACUCCAACAUUGUUCAUGGCCUAUGGGUGUGGCUAGUGAUGUGUGGGGUGAAGUGUGGUGUCCCGGGGUGAUGGUUACUGUGACGGCACGGUGUGUUGGCAGGAGGGCGUGGUUUGGUAGUGUGGGCUGGUGUGUGGUAUGGUUAGGCCUGACAUGUGGUUUGAUGUGGGGGUACAGUUGGUUUGGAAUGAGCCUUUCUGGUAGUUGGUAUCGUGAGCUGCGAGAGGCAGGAGGCUGGAGUACUUGAGUGUGUGUGAGGCGAUAGUGUGGAUAUGGUGUGUGUGUGUGUGUGUGUGACUUAGCUUUUGUUUAGAUUUUCUUUUGCUCUUUGUUUUGGCCUUUGUUUUUGUCUUUGUUUGGUCUUUGUUUUGUCUUUGUUUCACUCUUUGUUUAAACUUUCUUUGGCUUUUGUUUGGUCUGUCUUUAGCCUUUUGUUCAAACUUUGUGUGGCCUUUUUGUAGUUUUUGUGUAGCUUUUGUUUUAAAGUGGAUCUUGGCUGAGGACCCAUUACAAACACCUUGUGUUAUGAAAAACCCAGAUAUAUAAUCUCUCCCUAUAUAUUCUGCAUGCAUUGAAGUAGCUGGAACCCUUCAGGGACCUGGUACAGACGUGGAACCUGUUGCACACAACAAUUGCUAUUCGAAGGAAAAAAAAAAAGAAGCAAAUGAUACCAAGACAAGCUCAUAUCAGAGAUUUAAACACCAUAUGCGUGUGGAAGAAAAUACAGAAGAGCUCCAGCAUUAAAAGUUUUGGAUAAACUGGAUGAGUCGACAAGAGAAAUCAAGAAAGAGGGGCUAGAGAUGAAGAAAUGCAGGAGAAUGUGGUGUCACAGGAAAGGGAGGGGCUUCGAUGGAGAGAGCUCCAGUGCAGAGGAGAAGAGGUUUCGCAGCAUGGAGAACAGGAGCGCUAGCCAGACUGCAGUGCACUGCUGAUGAGAUGAGUCAGAAGACGGGUAAGGAGGGUCCCAGACUCUCCAAGAACCAGAGGUUCUCGGAGCACUUCAGCAUACGCUGCUGCCCGCCCUUCACCUUCCUCAACUCCAAGACGGAAAUUGUGGAUCGCAAGUACAGCAUCUGCAAGAGUGGCUGCUUCUACCAGAAGAAGGAGGAGGACUGGAUCUGCUGCGCGUGCCAGAGGACCAGCACCAGCCGCCGUGCAACGUCCCCUCAGAGGCCCAAGCUCCAGCCAGCUGCGCCCCCCGCGGUGGUCAGAGCGCCCGCCAAGCCACGGUCCCCUCCGAGGUCUGAGCGUCAGCCGCGUCCCCGCCCAGAGGUCCGACCACCGCCCGCCAAGCAGCGGCCCCCUCAGAAGGCCAAGGCCAAGCAACAGCCGCGCAGCAGCCCCGUCAGAGGGCCAGGCGCCAGCCGUGGGGGGUCCCCCAACAAAGCUUCUAGGUUCUGGUAACGCGGGCUCUUCCCUUUUGUUACCCCAGCCCUAAGAUUGAAAAGAAGAACCAAGCCAACCCCCAAAAAGAAGUGACCAAGAAAGUGAAUGGAUGGCCUCAGCUCCUGGACUCACUGUUUUGCGACCCAUCUGCCCUCGGACAAGUUAUCUGGCUUUGGAAGUGAUGUGGCAAUUGCCAUUGUGCACAGUCCCCAUGGCAUGGGGGCCUCAGGACAGCCUGCCUGGAGCACUUUGAAGAUAUCAUCCCUUUGUUUUCUGACUUGUAUCGUUACCUUGAGAAAUCUGUCAGUCUGCCUGUCCUUCCAUUGACUCAAGUUUCUUCAAUCUGAAGAUAUAUAUCUUUCUUCAGGGACAUACAAAAAAGAUUGUACAACCAUCAAAAUGGCAAAAAUAAAAAAAUUAUCAAGUGUUGGCAAGGAUGUGAGGAGAAUUCUCAUAAGCUACCAAUGAGAAUUUAUGAACUGAUACAAUAUCUUUGGGAGUAAUACGGGGAUAGCAAGUUAUGAUUUUAGUUAUCUUUCGUAGAGAAAACUUGCACUCGUGGAAAAAUGAGAUGCACACAAAUCUACUCAAUGAAUCAUUGUUUGCCAUUGAGAAAAAAUAGAUGCAUAAAAAGAAAUUAGCCAAAAUGUCCACCAAAUGUUCACCACAAAUGAAUGAAUCAAUUGUGACAUAUUCGUGAAUAAAAUACUAAAGAACAGUUAAGACACAUGAAUCAGAUGUACCUGUACCAAGUAAGUAAAUUUGGAAGACAAAAUGAGGAGUACAAAAAGCCAACAGUAGAUGGUAGAUGCAGUAUGAUGCCUUAUUUAUACCUUUUAACAACCCACAUACCAUAUAGCAUAUCGCUCAAUAAGCAGAAACCAUACUUCACAUUUUUUCCUACAGUUCAGUAGAACAAAAAAAUGACAACAAAGUCCAAAAAAUAUACUCACGAAAUCUAUCCUUUCAGAAAAGAUUGGAAGUAACUCCUGGUUUGAAGAAAUUAUUUACAUUUAAAAGCCAUAUAGAAAUAUUUUACAAUGUUGGUCAUAUAUAUUUGUUUAGAAAGAAAAGUAGAGGCCUGAUGAAGAGCCUAGGAUGUGCUCAAGGUAACAGGUCUUAACAAGAAAAGUCUUUGUUACGGGUCCAUUUUAGAUCCAGGCCUGUGAUUUUGGCAUCUGAUGGUUUCUGACUUGGGGGGGAAAUGGAAGAAUUGGAAAACAUCUCUGCCUUCAGAAUCUUCCUUCAGUACUAGGUAGUAAAACACAGAAGAAGACAAUAGAAUGUUGUGGAACGUGGAGGCAUGUAAAACGGACUGUAUCAGGAUAGAAGGAAACACAGAGCACAGGACUCCUCAGUCAGAACAGUCUUGUGCUGGGAGCUGCUGUGGCCACGACAGGCGUAUGCCCAAAGCUCCAACAAGGCCGUGGCUUUGUGCCUUUGAACACACCCAGAUCUAGCCAAGUUUAACAGGCAAGUAAAAAUUUAGGGGCAAUGUCAGAGGAAAUCCUGUUGGAAGUUGAGGAGAGAAAGGCAGAGAGCAGGGAAAAAUGGUAGGCUCAGGUCUGAGAUGUGGCUCACAGUGUCAUUCCCCCCAGAGAGGAAUCAGGCCGGUACUAUCCCAAGGCAGCUGAAGGAAGACCAGGGUGGCCUGGCUUCCUCACUUGGGCAUCCAUGGCUCUGUCAGUGAGCCAAUAAGAAGGCAGGGGAGUUUAACUCUACAGAACCUUCAGGAAGAACUUUUCUCUUGCCUAAACUCAGGUGCUAAAUGAACAACAAAAUGAGAACCUCUCUGAUGAACAGUUUCCAGUGAUGAGUUAUCUGAGGCCAUUACAUGGCUAGGAAUAAUGGGAUGUGGAAGGGUGGGGGCGGGGUGGGAAUACAUGACAGACCACUGGUGAGUGAAAACAAAUUACUAACCCAUCCCUCUUUAGCUCCAGUAAAGAAGUUAACAUCCCUUCAGGCUGUUGUAGAUUUUGGCAAAGCCACAUCCGCCGAGCUUGUAGAAUCCUGUCCUUCCAUGCUGUUUAGAAGACGUGUUUACUACAGAAUGGUUGGGGAGGGUAGAGCAUAGCAUAUAUUAAUGCAUGAAAAAAGUUGGAUAUUAGACCAGUAAUGUUACUAACUAGAAAUGACUGAACUCUGUGUUUGUCUGUUGUGGAAAUAAAACCUUCUGGGGAUGGAUCAAA